rnacentral:rRNA from 1 species
AAUCAACGCUGGCGGCGUGCCUCAGACAUGCAAGUCGAACGCGAAAGUCCCCUUCGGGGGACAAGUAGAGUGGCGCACGGGUGAGUAACACGUAGGUAAUCUACCUUCGGAUGGGGAAGUAACAAACCGGAAACGGUUGCUAAUACCGCAUAAUGCAGCGGCACCUAAUGGUGACAGUUGUUAAAGCGGGGGAUUGAAAGACCUCGCGUCUGAAAGAGGAGCCUGCGGCGGAUUAGCUUGUUGGAGGGUAACGGCCUACCAAGGCGACGAUCCGUAGCCGGCCUGAGAGGGCGGUCGGCCACACUGACACUGACAUACGGGUCAGACUCCUACGGGAGGCAGCAGUCGGGAAUUUUGGGCAAUGGGCGAAAGCCUGACCCAGCAAACGCCGCGUGAAGGA